rnacentral:rRNA from 1 species
CUUGGCUGCCCGGCCGGUAUUGGAUUGGAUGAUAGAAUUUAAACACUUAUUUAAAGUAUCAAUUGGAGGGCAAGUCUGGUGCCAGCAGCCGCGGUAAUUCCAGCUCCAAUAGCGUAUAUUAAAAUUGUUGCAGUUAAAAAGCUCGUAGUUGAAUUUUUGCUGGAAAUAACCGGUCUGCUUUUAUUAAUAAGAGUGGUAUCUUGGUGUGUUUUUAGCAAUAAUGUCCUUUGAAAUGUUUUUUACUUUAUUGUAAGAAGCAAUAUUCAGGAUUUUUACUUUGAGAAAAUUAGAGUGUUUCAAGCAAGCUAACGUUUUGAAUACUGCAGCAUGGAAUAAUAAAAUAGGAUUUUGGUUCUACAUUAUUGGUUUUAAGAACUAAAUUAAUGAUUGAUAGGGACAGUUGGGGGCAUUUGUAUUUAACUGUCAUAGGUGAAAUUCUUAA